rnacentral:rRNA from 1 species
UACGAAGGGGGCUAGCGUUGUUCGGAAUUACUGGGCGUAAAGCGCGCGCAGGCGGUCCUUCAAGUCAGAGGUGAAAGCCCAGAGCUCAACUCUGGAAUGGCCUUUGGGACUGCAAGGCUGGAGUGCGGCAGAGGAGACUGGAAUUCCUGGUGUAGCAGUGAAAUGCGUAGAUAUCAGGAGGAAUACCGAUGGCGAAGGCAGGUCUCUGGGCUGACACUGACGCUCAUGCACGAAAGCGUGGGGAGCAAACAGG